rnacentral:rRNA from 1 species
AUUGAACGCUGGCGGCAUGCUUUACACAUGCAAGUCGAACGGUAGCAGGCCGCAAGGUGCUGACGAGUGGCGAACGGGUGAGUAAUGCAUCGGAACGUGCCCAGUCGUGGGGGAUAACGCAGCGAAAGCUGCGCUAAUACCGCAUACGAUCUAUGGAUGAAAGCGGGGGACCGUAAGGCCUCGCGCGAUUGGAGCGGCCGACGUCAGAUUAGGUAGUUGGAGGGGUAAAGGCUCACCAAGCCAACGAGCUGUAGCUGGUCUGAGAGGACGACUAGCCACACUGGGACUGAGACACGGCCCAGACUCCUACGGGAGGCAGCAGUGGGGAAUUUUGGACAAUGGGCGCACGCCGGAUCCAGCAAUGCCGCGUGCAGGAAGAAGGCCUUCGGGUUGUAAACUGCUUUUGUACGGAGCGAAACGGCUCUGGUUAAUACCUGGGGCUAAUGACGGUACCGUAAGAAUAAGCACCGGCUAACUACGUGCCAGCCGCCGCAGUAAUAC